rnacentral:misc_RNA from 1 species
AACGCACAUGGCGCUUCGUAUGAAGCAUGCUUGUUUCAGUGUCAUACCCCCUCACGCUGCCCCUCGGGGCGCCGUGGUCUGUGAGCCUCACGAGCGCUCGCGCUCGCGCCGCUUCAAGAAUGGUCGCGAACAACCCGGUCGACGCUCCGGCUCCUGCCUCCUUCGGAGGUGGGCGGCCCGAGAGAAGCGCGGUGUGGUAGGUCCUCUCGGACACAACCCCUGUGUCCUUCCCUCGGUGCUCCGAAUGCCGGACGCGCUCGCCGCGGACAAUCGCUAGGCGCGCCUCGCGCGCCGAAACGGCGUCUCUGACGCCAACCCCACUCAUACCUUUGACCUGAAACCAAGUAAGAGGACCCGCUGAAUUUAA